AUUGAACGCUGGCGGAAUGCUUUACACAUGCAAGUCGAACGGUAGAGGGGGCAACCCCUCGAGAGUGGCGAACGGGUGAGUAAUAUAUCGGAACGUGCCCAGUCGUGGGGGAUAACGUAGCGAAAGUUACGCUAAUACCGCAUACGAUCUAAGGAUGAAAGCGGGGGAUCGCAAGACCUAGCGCGGUUGGAGCGGCCGAUAGCAGAUUAGGUAGUUGGUGGGGUAAAGGCUCACCAAGCCAACGAUCUGUAGCUGGUCUGAGAGGACGACCAGCCACACUGGAACUGAGACACGGUCCAGACUCCUACGGGAGGCAGCAGUGGGGAAUUUUGGACAAUGGACGCAAGUCUGAUCCAGCCAUUCCGCGUGCAGGAUGAAGGCCCUCGGGUUGUAAACUGCUUUUGUACGGAACGAAAAGGUUUCCAUUAAUACUGGGAGCUCAUGACGGUACCGUAAGAAUAAGCACCGGCUAACUACGUGCCAGCAGCCGCAGUAA
rnacentral:rRNA from 1 species